GUCCACGCUGUAAACGAUGACGACUAGGUGUGGGGUGGUUUAGUCCAUUCCGUGCCGCAGCUAACGCAUUAAGUCGUCCGCCUGGGGAGUACGGCCGCAAGGUUGAAACUCAAAGGAAUUGACGGGGGCCCGCACAAGCGGUGGAGCAUGUGGUUCAAUUCGAUGCAGAGCGAAGAACCUUACCUGGGCUUGACAUGCUGGAAGUAGAACCCCCGAAAGGGGAACGACCUGUUAAGUCAGGAGCCAGCACAGGUGGUGCAUGGCUGUCGU
rnacentral:rRNA from 1 species